rnacentral:lncRNA from 1 species
UUGGUUCCCUGUCCGUUGUCUUGAAUCAAUUUCGGUUUAAUUGUACAUGAAAAGAUGUUUACGAACCACCCAAAAGACUAUCUAACGUAAACAAACACAUCAGUACUCGAGCUCACAACAGAGUCAACGUUAUGUUCCCAUGUGAAAGCAGGAGAGGCAUUGAUAAAAGAUGCAUUAAACAUCUAAGUAAAAAACAAAACAAGACAAUGAGCUUUUCCCAGGAUCAUUGAGGCAACUUCAGCUAUAGAUAACAUUUGCCAUUCAUGGGAGUAGAGGAAUGAGAGGCGAUGGGACUUAGGAAACAAAGAGGAUUGUAUGGCUGGACUGUGAAUGGAGGAGAAACGCAUGCAUGGAGCAGCAAUGGAGGAGAGACUACAGUGUAAGGUGUGUGACAUUGACCUCUGGGCUUUUGAACCUGUGACCUGCCACAAUCCCGAAGCUCAUUCAAUAGCACUAAGUGAUCAGCACCUCCAAGACAAAGACUCCAGCUGCCUGGUGUUGAAAUAUGCAUUAGACUUGAAUCGGUGGUCAACUCCUCUCUGCGCCUCAAGUCCGCCGACGUACACAUUGAGCUAACUGGAUAAACUGGUUGUGGCGGGAAAGAUCUCCACAUGGAGGCUCCCUCAAUCUCAUCCCGGCCCGGUGUUGACAUUCUCUGCCUGGUAUUGUUAAAGAAGACCCAGCCGCUCAUAUGUGACGAAGUGUAGCGCUGUCUGGGAGAAGUUCAGGAGAGGGAAGCUGUAAACAGAUCUCCAUGGGCUCCUCUGUGACCCCCGGCUCCUCACAGUGCGUUUGUUCUGGCACUUUACAAUGCUCUGGGUUUAUGGGGCCUGUGACCUGUGGACGUCCACAAGAUAAAUCCACACAGACUCUCUGGUGGCCGACCACACUAGUGUUAUUAGCGCUGGUAAUAUUUUACAGUGCUAUUUGUUAAUGCAUUGGUUACACUUUACAUUAUUAAGGUUUUAUUUGUUCACAUAUUUUUUUUACUAACAUGAAUAAACAAUGUGCAAUAUAU